AUCCGAUGGAUCCGAUGGAUCGGAUGGAUCCGAUGAUCGGAUCCAUCGGAUCCUUCGGAUCCAUCGGAUCCAUCCGAUCCUUCGGAUCCAUCGGA
rnacentral:miRNA from 1 species